rnacentral:tRNA from 2 species
GUCGGGAUAGCUCAGUGGUAGAGCAGAGGAC